GACGAACGCUGGCGGCGUGCUUAACACAUGCAAGUCGAACGGAAAGGCCCUGCUUUUGUGGGGUGCUCGAGUGGCGAACGGGGGAGUAACACGUGAGUAACCUGCCCUUGACUUUGGGAUAACUUCAGGAAACUGGGGCUAAUACCGGAUAGGAGCUCCUGCUGCAUGGUGGGGGUUGGAAAGUUUCGGCGGUUGGGGAUGGACUCGCGGCUUAUCAGCUUGUUGGUGGGGUAGUGGCUUACCAAGGCUUUGACGGGUAGCCGGCCUGAGAGGGUGACCGGCCACAUUGGGCCUGAGAUACGGCCCAGACUCCUACGGGAGGCAGCAGUGGAGAAUAUUACACAAUGGGCGGAAGCCUGAUGCAGCAGCGCCGCGUGCGGGAUGCCGGCCUUCGGGUUGUAAACCGCUUUCGCCUGUGACGAAGCGUGAGUGACGGUAAUGGGUAAAGAAGCACCGGCUAACUACGUG
rnacentral:rRNA from 1 species